GCACGAUACAGGUUCUCAAGAUGAUAAAACAAAGGUUACUGGGCUGAAUCUUCUGCAGCAGCCUGCCUGGUUAUUAACAUCUGAUAGGAAAUGCAUUGCAUAGGAGGAAGGUCAGGAAAAGGAAUUGACCAUCCCAACUUGAAAGACUAAAUUGGGGCAGAUCACCCUGUGAUGAGCUCACCCUGUGCACCAUCUUUUCCUCACGGAAAGCACGAACAAUAAGAGGAUCAGAAGAAGCCUGCGAAAAGGAUUACAUUGCAC